rnacentral:rRNA from 1 species
GAUGAACGCUGGCGGCGUGCUUAACACAUGCAAGUCGAACGAUGACGCACAGCUUGCUGGGUGGUUUAGUGGCGAACGGGUGAGUAACACGUGAGUAACCUGCCCUUAACUCUGGGAUAAGCCUGGACAACUGGGACUAAUACCGGAUAGGAGCGUCCACCUCAUGGUGGGUGCUGGAAAGAUUUAGAGGUUUUGGAUGGGCUCGCGGCCUAUCCGCUUGUUGGUGGGGUAGUGGCUGACCAAGGCGACGACGGGUAGCCGGCCUGGGAGGGUGACCGGCCACACGGGGACUGAGAGACGGCCCAGACUCCUACGGGGGGCAGCAGUGGGGAAUAUUGCACAAUGGGCGCAAGCCUGAUGCAGCGGCGCCGCGUGAGGGAUGACGGCCUUCGGGUUGUAAACCUCUUUCAGUAGGGAAGAAGCGAAAGUGACGGUACCUGCAGAAGAAGCACCGGCUAACUACGUG